rnacentral:rRNA from 1 species
UACGGGGGGGGCAAGCGUUGUUCGGAAUUACUGGGCGUAAAGGGUUCGUAGGUGGCUCGCUAAGUCAUACGUGAAAUCCCUCGGCUUAACCGGGGAACUGCGUCUGAUACUGGAUGGCUUGAGAUUGGGAGAGGGAUGCGGAAUUCCAGGUGUAGCGGUGAAAUGCGUAGAUAUCUGGAGGAACACCGGUGGCGAAGGCGGCAUCCUGGACCAACACUGACGCUGAGGAGCGAAAGCCAGGGGAGCAAACGGG